AUGAUGAACUGAUCACUCCAACGAGUAUAACUCCUUCAGUUGGGAAAUGCCAUGCUGUCAACUUGUCUGCUCAGUCCUGGGUGGUCACAGUUUGGGCUAGGCUGAGUGUGUGACAACAACACACACUCACACAGGAUGGACCCCAAAGACCAAGCAGUGAGUCUCCUAAACAAGAUUUGGGCCAAGCUGCAGAGUCUGCCAAACUCCAGCCCCAUCGAGCUGGGAGCUUUCCUCAUCCUCUUGACAUUCAUCGCGGUGUUCCUUAUCAUGAUGGUGGUGGCUUGUGCGUGCUGCUGCUGCUGCCGGAAAGCCAGACGAAAGGGAGCGGACAUUUAAAGGCAUUUGAACUACGUGCCAAAAUGUUAAACAGGUUUUUUCCCCAAGGCUGCCAAGUGUCAGGAUGAGAACUUGUGCGAGGAGUCAGGCUCAUAAGUGGGUGUGUCCAGCCCUCCAAAACAAAGCAACUGUCACUAACAAGGAUGUCCUGCUUACUGCUAAACACCCAGAUUUUCAGGAAUAUCGGCAGUCUUUGGAGAGCUCAUGUACAAUAACACCGUUCUUGACCAGAGGACCAGACACCAAUCCAAUUUCAAAGGGGAACUACCCUUUUUUUUCCGUUUGCAAUCCUUAUGUAAGAAAACAACACGUAUGUUCAAAGUUCCCUCUAAGGUGCGCGCCUGCCCAAUCUGAACUGUAAACAAAAUAAACACAUAGCUAUUUGUUCUGUAGGGUUUUGCAAAGCAACUGUAAGUGGCCAUAACAGAAAAAACAAUGUUUGUCAACACUGUUAGGUUUUUGUCAAAACGCUUUAAGGAGGACAGGGAUCUAGUUGAUCACUUUAUUACUUCUGUCUAGCUCGGGGGUCAGCAACCAGCGGCUCUAGAGCCACAUGCGGUUAGAGUGUCCGCCCUUAGAUCGGUAGGUCGUGAGUUCAAACCCCGGCCGAGUCAUACCAAACUCUAUAAAAAUGGGACCCAUUACCUCCCUGCUUGGCCCUCAGCAUCAAGGGUUGGAAUUGGGGGUUAAAUCACCAAAAUGAUUCCCCAGCGCUGCCACGGCUGCUGCUCACUGCUCCCCUCACCUCCCAGUGGGUGGAACAAGGGGAUCGGUCAAAUGCAGAGGAUAAUUUGACCACACCUAGUGUGUGUGUGACUAUCAGUGGUACUUUAACUUUUUUUUAGCUCUGACCUAGUGGCUCCCAGAAGGUUCUUCAAAAAAUGCAUACACAUUUUUGUUUUAAUAUGGUUUCUUUAGAAGGGCAAACAUGACACAAACCUUCCUAACUGUUAGAAACCCCACUGUUUAUAUUACACAUGCUUUACUGAUGAGAGUAUUUGGCGAGCGCCGUUUUGUCCUAAAUUCAGCGGUCUCUCAACUUGCCGUAGUUUGAUUACAGUACAACUUUCUACGACACUGCCACAGAAAGACGUGUUUUAUGCCACUCCUUCUUUGUCUCAUUUUGUCCACCAAACUUUUUAUGCUUUGCAUGAAUGCACAAAGGUGAGCUUCGUUGACGUUAUUGACUUGUGUGGAGUGCUAAUCAGGCAUAUUUGGUCACUGCAUGAUUGCAAGCUAAUCGAUGCUAACGUGCUAUCUAGACCAGUGGUCCCCAACCACCGGUCCGGGGACCUGUACCGGUCCGUGACACAUUUGCUACCAGACAGCAGAGAAAAAUUUAAUAAUUUAUAAACGACUGCAUUUUCUCUGACUUAACUUUCGCCUGUUCCACGAGACACAUCAAUAAGCUUGUUUAUAGAAACUCAUCAUAGGAAUUUUACAUUUGUUAUAUUUUUUAUAACUUUGUGACAUUAUACAAUGCACAUUAAUGAGCAUAUACAAUAUAAAUGUGACAGAUUGUCGCCAAAGGCUGAUUUCCAUCUGCAUCUCAUUGCAAAGAAACAAACCCAGGGCUCCCACUAACUUAGCGUUAUAGUGAGUUGUAUUUUUCAUGCUCUUAUUUUUGCUGUAUUUAUCUGGCACAAGUGUAAAGCCGGUCCCUGAAAGUAAUGCCUACAUUAAACUGGUCUGUGGUUCAAAAAAGGUUGGGGACCACUGAUCUAGACUAGCUGUAUGUACAUAUUGCAUCAUCAUGCCACGUUUGUAAGUAUAUUUUAGCUCAUUUAAUUUCCUUUACUUAUGUCCUCUGUGUAUUUAAUUUAUAUUUGCAUGUCUCAUGACAACAAAUAGGCUCCAGCACCCCCCGCGACCCCAAAAAGGACAAGCGGUAGAAAAUGGAUGGAUGGAUGUCUCAUGACACAUUAUCUGUAUGUAAUAUUGGCUGCAUUUCUGAUAGUUGUUUGUGUGCCAUGUUGUUCCAGACCACAGCAAACAUUACCCAAGUUGCAAAGAUUGUAAUAAACCCAUUAGAAGAAGACAGCCUGCCGUUUCCUUUAUCUUGGACACACACAUCUAUACUUUAGGACAUUCUAUGCAAGGAGCCAUCUCACCCUCUGAGAAGCCUCUGUUUUACUAAUGUUUUCCAAUGUUGUAAAAAUGUGUAGAUUACAGUCAACAUUUUUGUCAACGCAGAUUUGCGUCAG